ACUGUAGAACAACAGGUCUACAUACACACUUUUUUACGUUGACACGCAGAAGUUAGUAUUGGGCCCUAACGAUUCACAAAAGUAAAUCUAAGGUGGCGAAGAGAUGCAAAUUUCAAAUUAUAAUUUUCGAGAAAUAAAUUUAAAGAACACGCAAUCUUUCGACAUUAACUUUCAACAAGGUGAAAGUACUCUAGAAUAGUGUCUGAGAAUAACACUUUUGACUAGUAAAAGUUGGAAAUAUGUAAGUAGAGAAAAAAUUGCUAGAAUUUGAAAUUUUUCGUAAAUAUACCAAAAUUUUUUUAUUUUUGUCGUCAAUGCGCAGACGGAAAACAUCGUCGCACAGCAAUCGGAUUUUGCACACGUAUUGUGGGCAUGUGUACACAGCUUUUAAGCCCUAUUAGCGUUUCAAAGUAGA